rnacentral:rRNA from 1 species
UGCGUAGGUGGGUAAGUAAGUCAGUGGUGAAAUCUUCGAGCUUAACUCGGAAACUGCCAUUGAUACUAUUUAUCUUGAAUACUUUGGAGGUAAGCGGAAUAUGUCAUGUAGCGGUGAAAUGCUUAGAUAUGACAUAGAACACCAAUUGCGAAGGCAGCUUACUACACAGUUAUUGACACUGAGGCACGAAAGGCUGGGGAUCAAACA